rnacentral:lncRNA from 1 species
AAUGGUCCCUGGUCAAGUGGACCCUGGUCAAGUGAUCCCUGGUCAAAUGGUUCCCGAUCAAGUGAUCCCUGGUCAAAGUGGUCCCUGGUCAAAUGGGCCCCGGUCAAGUGGUCCCUGGUCAAGUGGUCCCUGGUCAAAUGGGCCCCCAUCAAGUGGUCCCUGGUCAAAGUGGGCCCCGGUCAAACUGGGCCUUGGUCAAAUAGUCCCCGGUCAAGUGGUCCCUGGUCAAAUGGGCCCCCAUCAAGUGGUCCCUGGUCAAAGUGGUCCCUGGUCAAAUGGUCACUGGUCUAGUGGUCCGUGGUCAAGUGGUCCCUGGUCAAGUGAUCCCCGGUCAAGUGGUCCCCGGUCAAAGUGGUCCCUGGUCAAAGUGGUCCCUGGUCAAAUGUGCCCCAGUCAAGUGGUCCCUGGUCAAGUGGUACCUGGUCAAAGUGGUCCCUGGUCAAAUGGUCCCCGGUCGAGUGGUCCCUGGUCAAGUGAUCCCUGGUCAAAUGGGCCCCCAUCAAGUGGUCCCUGGUCAAAUGAGCCCCAGUCAAGUGGUCCCUGGUCAAGUGGUCCCUGGUCAAAGUGGUCCCUGGUCAAAUGGUCCCUGAUCAAGUGGUCCCUGGUCAAAUGGGCCCCGGUCAAAGUGGUCCCUGGUCAAAUGGUCCCCCAUCAAGUGGUUCCUGGUCUAAGUGUUCCCUGGUCAAACAGACCCUGGUCAAGUGGUCCCCGGUCAAGUGAUCCCUGGUCAAAUGGGCCCCCAUCAAAUGGUCCCUGGUCAAAUGAGCCCCGGUCAAGUGGUCCGCUGUCAAGUGGUCCAUGGUCAAGUGGUCCCUGGUCAAGAGAUCCCUGGUCAAUUGGUCCCUGGUCAAUUGGUCCCUGGUCAAAUGGGCCCCAGUCAAGUGGUCCGUGGUCAUGUGCUCCCUGGUCAAGUGGUCCCUGCUCAAGUGAUCCCUGGUCAAAUGGUCCCCGGUCAAGUGGUCCCUGGUCAAAGUGCUCCCUGGUCAAGUGGGCCCCGGUCAAAUAG